GCGCAGGUGUCGGAAUUGGUAGACGAGCUACCUUGAGGGGGUAGUGUCCUUCGGGGCGUGGAGGUUCAAAUCCUCUCCUGCGCA
rnacentral:tRNA from 1 species